UACGGAGGGUGCGAGCGUUAAUCGGAAUUACUGGGCGUAAAGUGUGCGCAGGUGGCCGCGCAAGUCGAGUGUGAAAGCCCCGAGCUUAACUUGGGAAUUGCGCUCGAAACUACGUGGCUGGAGUGUGGCAGAGGAAGGUGGAAUUCCAGGUGUAGCGGUGAAAUGCGUAGAGAUCUGGAGGAACACCGAUGGCGAAGGCAGCCUUCUGGGCCAACACUGACGCUCAUGCACGAAAGCGUGGGGAGCAAACAGG
rnacentral:rRNA from 1 species